GGAGUUCUGUGUGGAUGCUCCUUUGAACCAAAUCAGUUCCACAACUGACCCUGUCAGGGACAUAUAAAUUUAGCAUUUUGGUGUGGAUACAGAAGACGAGAUUAACACAGAUCAAGUAACAUGGAAAUAAAAAAGGAGACAAUGCUGGAUGAUACAGGGGCAGCAACAAGAGGAGAAAACCCAAGCAUUGGCAAAUGCCUCAUUAUCCAAAGAACACUCCUUAUACUCCUGAGAAUUUGUGGCAGUUCUGGGUUAAACGAUGAAGGCUUCUUAUUCUCAUGUAGGUCUCACAGCCUCUUGUCUCCCUGAGUUUUAAACACAUUGCAUUACCUUUCCAGAGGAGGUGUGCAGCAAAACUGUGUUGAAUGAACUGUAGAUGGAAAUUCUCUCCUUCCCACCGAGGAGCCGCUGCAGGUUGCAGACUCCCAGAAUGCCACACUGAGAAGAGGAGGGCUAAAAUUCUAGAGCAGAAUCCCUGGGGCAGCCCCUGCUGAAGAAGGGUGCAUCUGUUGAGAAUCUCAUCACCGCCCCCACCCCGCCCAGCCUUCAAUUUAGAGGAAUUUCUAGUUCACGCAGAAUGAAGACAAGAUCACAUAAGUGAGGACGACGCCCCAUUUACAAGUGUGGUUUGGAAGACUGAAGUGGAAACCUUGGGAAGGGGCCUCAGAGUAUGUCAGCUGGGGUCAGACGGGAACAGGAGUCUGGCUCAACACACAUUUAUUGCACUCCUGCUUCAUGCCAAGAAAUGCACCAAAAUCUGGGACUGUGUAACACAGCAAAGGAAAAGACUCAUCUCCAGGAAGCCCCCUUGUCUAGGAAGAGAAAUUGAAUAUCAGCAUAAGGUGGUGAAAAGCUAU
rnacentral:lncRNA from 1 species